UACGGGGGGGGUAAGCGUUGUUCGGAAUUACUGGGCGUAAAGGGCUCGUAGGCGGCCAACUAAGUCAGACGUGAAAUCCCUCAGCUUAACUGGGGAACUGCGUCUGAUACUGGAUGGCUUGGAUCCGGGAGAGGGAUGCGGAAUUCCAGGUGUAGCGGUGAAAUGCGUAGAGAUCGGGAGGAACACCAGUGGCGAAGGCGGCUACCUGGACCAGCACUGACACUGAAGCACGAAAGCGUGGGGAGCAAACAGG
rnacentral:rRNA from 1 species